GGAUGUGAGGGCGAUCUGGCUGCGACAUCUGUCACCCCAUUGAUCGCCAGGGUUGAUUAGGCUGAUCUGGCUGGCUAGGCGGGUGUCCCCCUCCUCCCUCACCGAUCCAUGUGCGUCCCUCCCGAAGCUGCGAGCUCGGUCGAAGAGGACGCCCUUCCCCCCCUAGGAGAGGACCGGUCUUCGGUCAAGGGUAUACGAGUAGCUGCGCUCCCCUGCUAGAACCUCCAAACAAGCUCUCAAGGUCCAUUUGUAGGAGAACGUAGGGUAGUCAAACUCCCAAGACUCCAGACACAUCCAAAUGAGGCGCUGCACGUGGCAGUCUGCCUUCCUUU
rnacentral:snRNA from 1 species